rnacentral:rRNA from 1 species
AUUGAACGCUGGCGGCAUGCCUUACACACGCAAGUCGAACGGCAGCACGGGGGCAACCCUGGUGGCGAGUGGCGAACGGGUGAGUAAUGCAUCGGAACGUGCCCAGUAGUGGGGGACAACCAGUCGAAAGAUUGGCUAAUACCGCAUACGACCUAUGGGUGAAAGCGGGGGACCGUAAGGCCUCGCGCUAUUGGAGCGGCCGAUGUCUGAUUAGCUAGGUGGUGAGGUAAAAGCUCACCAAGGCGACGAUCAGUAGCUGGUCUGAGAGGACGGCCAGCCACACUGGGACUGAGACACGGCCCAGAAUCCUACGGGAGGCAGCAGUGGGGAAUUUUGGAGAAUGGGCGCAAGCCUGAUCCAGCCAUGCCGCGUGCGGGAAGAAGGCCUUCGGGUUGUAAACCGCUUUUGGCAGGAACGAAACGGCGACUUCUAAUACGAGUCGUUAAUGACGGUACCUGCAGAAUAAGCACCGGCUAACUACGUGCCAGCCGCCGCGGUAAGAC